rnacentral:rRNA from 1 species
UACGUAGGGCGCAAGCGUUGUCCGGAAUUAUUGGGCGUAAAGAGCUCGUAGGCGGUUUGUCGCGUCUGCUGUGAAAUCCCGAGGCUCAACCUCGGGCUUGCAGUGGGUACGGGCAGACUAGAGUGCGGUAGGGGAGACUGGAAUUCCUGGUGUAGCGGUGGAAUGCGCAGAUAUCAGGAGGAACACCGAUGGCGAAGGCAGGUCUCUGGGCCGCAACUGACGCUGGAGGAAGCGGAAAGCAUGGGGAGCGAACAGG